rnacentral:rRNA from 1 species
UACGGAGGGUGCAAGCGUUAUCCGGAUUCACUGGGGUUUAAAGGGUGCGUAGGCGGGCAGGUAAGUCCGUGGUGAAAUCUCUGAGCUUAACUCAGAAACUGCCAUGGAUACUAUUUGUCUUGAAUAUUGUGGAGGUAAGCGGAAUAUGUCAUGUAGCGGUGAAAUGCUUAGAUAUGACAUAGAACACCUAUUGCGAAGGCAGCUCACUACACGGUAAUUGACGCUGAGGCACGAAAGCGUGGGGAGCAAACAGG